CAUGAUGAUCACGAGCUAACUCCGGA
rnacentral:piRNA from 1 species